GUGCUAGCUUCAGCAGUACAUAUAAUAAAAUUGGAAUGAUACAGAGAUUAGCAUGGCCCCUGAGCAAGGAUGACGUGCAAAUUCGUGAAGCAUUCAAUAUUUUU